rnacentral:RNase_P_RNA from 1 species
GGGUAACGCCCGGUCGCGGCGACGCGAAGGAAAGUGCCACAGAAAACAGACCGCCUUCUUGGAGCUGACGCUCCGGGACGGCAAGGGUGAAACGGUGCGGUAAGAGCGCACCGCCCCGCCGGCAACGGCGGGGGCACGGUAAACCCCAUGCGGAGCAAGGCCAAAUAGGGGGACGGUGGGCGCCAGUCCCACCCCGCUUUCGGGCGGGCCGUCUCCGGGUCGGCUGCUUGAGCCCGAGGGAAACCUCGGGACGAGAGGAAUGAUCACGGGCCCGGGCGACCGGGUCACAGAAUUCGGCUUACCGGCCCGCUCGGGCU